UACGGGGGUGCGAGCGUUGUCCGGAAUCACUGGGCGUAAAGGGCGCGUAGGUGGUUUGAUAAGGGUGUGGUGAAAGUCCGGAGCUCAACUCCGGAUCUGCCGUGCCGACUGUCAAACUCGAGGGCUGUAGAGGCAGACGGAAUUCCGGGUGUAGCGGUGGAAUGCGUAGAGAUCCGGAGGAAGACCGGUGGCGAAGGCGGUCUGCUGGGCAGUUUCUGACACUGAGGCGCGACAGCGUGGGAGCAACAGG
rnacentral:rRNA from 1 species